rnacentral:sRNA from 1 species
GGUCCAUAUCAAUGUCCAUAUCAAUUUCCCAUGUUCCAUUACAUAUCCCGUGUUCUUUCCUUCUUCCAGCUUUUACAUGCUAGCCUUUUAUACAAUGAUUCCUCUCAUCUCGACUCGUUUGAUGAAUGGGCGUUUAGUUUUUGCAACAACAUAUGCGUUGGGUUAUCUCAUAUCGGGAAACACUUUCUGCCACUUUUAACUUGAACAAAGUUGGAGAAAUAAAGUGAUGGCAGAUAUUGCAAGUUGUUUAUAGUGUGCCUGUAGAAAUGUAAAAACGCUAUGUUUCGUGAAUGCCCAGCCUGUAAAUCGAAAUAAGAUUUCGUAUUUAUUAAGCAUUGGAAGAUCACAAUUGUGACUUUGUGGGUUUCGUAAAGAACAUCAUAUAGAUUUCUUUGACCAAGUGUAAUAAAGCAAAACACACGGACAUAGUAUGGAUAUGGACACAGCAUGGGUAUGGACACAAGCAACACUACCAGUCGUUUGAAACGAUGAAAUGGGCAACAAGUCGAUUUGUUUUUCAUCUAUCAAUCGUUGUAAUUCACAUGCAGCUACAAGACGACACGUUAUAUUUAGGGUGCAAAGCAGGUAGAGAUUUCAUAGGCAUAUUUUCGAAGUACCAGCUUUAUGCCAAAACAUGCAUGCAUGCAAGAAACUCCAUAACUUCGUUUGCGCAACUCCUGCUUAUCGUCUUCUUUCUAUACCCAUACUGNUGGAUCNANUGAAUGAACGUAGCAAAUAGAUACCAGAUAUAGCGCCACCCUUUUGAGCAA